rnacentral:misc_RNA from 1 species
GUGAAUCAUCGAAUUUUUGAACGCAAAUUGCACUCUCUACGGAGAUUAUGCCUGUUUGAGUGUCAGUAUUAUUAAAAAUCGGUGUGUUGCUGUUUUGUGACGCUGGGAAGUUUGUGGCAUCUUAAUAUCCUUUAGGGUUUAAGAGGCUUAAAAUUGUCUUUUUUUGCGCAUUUUAGAUGUACUUAAAUUCUUUUUUUUAUGCGUCUGUUUUAAUGCUCAAAAUCCUAUUAGAUGCGAUCAC